rnacentral:rRNA from 1 species
UACGUAGGUGGCAAGCGUUGUCCGGAUUUAUUGGGUUUAAAGGGUGCGUAGGCGGUUUUGUAAGUCAGUGGUGAAAUACUCCAGCUUAACUGGAGGGGUGCCAAUGAUACUGCAGAACUUGAGUACAGAUGAGGUAGGCGGAAUUGACGGUGUAGCGGUGAAAUGCAUAGAUAUCGUCAAGAACACCGAUAGCGAAGGCAGCUUACUGGGCUGUAACUGACGCUGAGGCGCGAAAGCGUGGGGAGCGAACGGG